GCAUGGUGAACUUUAUAAAACCAUUGUAUCUUGGAACAGAACGAGAGUUUGCUAAUUUAUACGCAAAUCCUAUAAAAAACGGUCAGCAUAAAGACUCAAGUAAAAAAGAUAUUACAAUUAUGAAACAACGAUCGUAUGUGCUUCACAAAAAACUAUCCAAAUUUGUUCAGGUUACGGGCUUCGUGAGUUUUGCAGCAAAGAAAAUUCAGGAAAAAUU